rnacentral:rRNA from 1 species
UAGGGAAUCUUCGGCAAUGGACGAAAGUCUGACCGAGCAACGCCGCGCGAGUGAAGAAGGUUUUCGGAUCGUAAAACUCUGUUGUUAGAGAAGAACAAGGACGUUAGUAACUGAACGUCCCCUGACGGUAUCUAACCAGAAAGCCACGGCUAACUACGUGCCAGCAGCCGCGGUAAUACGUAGGUGGCAAGCGUUGUCCGGAUUUAGUGGGCGUAAAGCGAGCGCAGGCGGUUUCUUAAGUCUGAUGUGAAAGCCCCCGGCUCAACCGGGGAGGGUCAUUGGAAACUGGGAGACUUGAGUGCAGAAGAGGAGAGUGGAAUUCCAUGUGUAGCGGUGAAAUGCGUAGAUAUAUGGAGGAACACCAGUGGCGAAGGCGGCUCUCUGGUCUGUAACUGACGCUGAGGCGCGAAAGCGUGGGGAGCAAACAGG